rnacentral:lncRNA from 1 species
GGGGUACGGGGGUUUGGGCCCAGUUCUGGAUUUCCCCUGGACCUCAAUUACUGAGAUAAGAAAUGAAAGGCCCUCGGGGCUGGUGGUGCCUGCCUGUGACCCCAGCCCUUCAGGAGCUGGGCAGGAAGCUGGCAAGCCGGAUGCCACCCUUGGCCACCCAGUGAGUCCCUACCUCAAACAACACGAAAAAGGGGGCUGGAGGGGGACCUAAGUGGGGUCAUUGCUUAGAGUGUGCACAGCCCUGGGCCCCCUCCUCAGCACCACGAAAAAUAAGAAUUAAAAAGCCUUUGGAGUUGUCCAGCUCACUGACCUUGUUUGAGGCUCAGAGAGAGGGACCCCUGUGGUCACACAGCAAGGCAGGGACAGAACUGGGGGUUCUGCAGCCUGGGCAUUUGGAGCAAGUUCCCCUUGGAGAGGACACAGUGGGAGCCGUCUCCCAGCUGGGUUGCUUGGUGCUGGGUUGCUCAGUGCUGGGUACCUGGUGCUGGGUUGCUCUGUGCUGGGUUGCUCAGUGCUGGGUACCUGGUGCUGGGUUGCUCGGUGCUGGGUCUGAACUCCAAACAGCCCAGCCGAUGGUGGUAAUAAUGACAGCUUCCACUGUCAACCAUGCCGGGGGCUGUGUGUAACUUUUCCCUCCUGGACCUGUGAAGAUAAGCCCAGCAGUCCCACAUCUUGGAGCUGGACACCAAGGCUCAGAGGGGCAAUCCAUGUCAUUAUUUGUCAAGACCCUCCCGACCAGGAAGUGGCAGUGCUACGAUUUUAACCCACAUGAGUGUAACUCCAAGGCUCAAACCCUUCCCCUGGAUUACUAACCCCAAUUAACAUGUAUGUGCCCAUUUUUCAGACGAGAAAACCGAGUAGUGGUGACAAGCCCUCUCUCUGGGGCCGCUUUAGCUUUACAAGAACUCAGAGCCGGGACACUCUGGUGCCUGUGGCCCAAAGAUGAAGACAAAGCCUUGCUGGUGCCUGCUCACUUGACCUUCGAUGCCCAGUGUCCACGGUGACUGGGUUUCUCCCAGAUGUCUCUGCUGUCCCGGCAUUCUCUUCAACCCCCUUCCCCUUUCCUGUCUCCGUCCCUCUACACUUCAAUAUUUGGGGUCAAGCUAAAGGAGCCUAGAAGAACUAAUUCCAACCUCAGCUUAGUCAUUUACUUGCUGUGUGACCUUGGGCAACUCACUUAACCUCCCUGGGUCUCACUUUGCUCAGCUGUCAAGUGGGAAAAGUUUUGUCUAAGUCUGAGCCUAUGACUGGCCAUGCAUAUUGGUUAGAAGGAAAGGGGAUAUUUAUUGUGCCCCUACCAUUUGUCACACCUGGCAUGAGAUAUUGGGGACCCUGAAGUGGGCCAAGCAGACACUUCCUGGGUAUGUUUCUGGGACGGUGGACGGAGGACGGUGUGGUGCAGGAGGUGGAGUAACGGGUUUUGUCAGUGUGGGCAGAAGAUGAGGGCCAUAAACCAGGAGGAAGGGUGGGAAUGACUAAUCUGAUAGGAGAGGGAGAAGAGCCCCGGCCUCGGCUGUAAGCGAUGGAUCAGGACUGGAACCGAGUCUGAUUUCGGGGCGCCUGGUCCCGCCGUCCCCAGCCCUGCAGAGAGCCCCGCCCACAGGAGAUUAAAGUCCCACUAGCGUCCGGACGUGUUCAGGGGGCUAGGUCUGUCCCCUGUAGUGCAAGUCCCCACCCCAGCACGAGCUGGAAGGAGCUGGGGCAGGAGUCGCCCCGCCCCCAGAGGCAGGGGGAGGGGUCGCCUCAAGGCCCCGCCCCCAGGUGUCCGGGCCGGGAGCCGCGGGGCCUCUCCUGCCAGCUCGGUGCUGAGCCUGGCCAGCGGGGCCCCAGUCUCGGUCCGGCUCUGGCUUCAGCCUCUCCAGUCCCCAAACCUGGGCAGCGCCCGCGUGCCAAAGGAGCCGCUGGGGCGCGGGAGGGGUCCAGGACGCAGCCGGCUCUUGGGAAACCUGGUGAAUUCUGCAGCGCACUCCUCCUCCUCCUCCUCCUCCUCCUCCUCCUCCUCCUCCUCCUCCUUAGGUGUAGGUCUCUCUCUCUCUCUCUCUCUCUCUCUCUCUCUCUCUCUCUCUCUCUCUCUGCCUCCAUCCCUAUCCCUCUCUCUGCAUAAUCUGUCCCUUCUAUUUCUGGCUGAUACAAGGGCCACUUGGCGUCCAGGGUCUACACUGCAGACUGCUCACAACCCACCUCUGUGGGUGGCGGAAACCCAGAAGCUGGCCCAGCUGACCUUGCUGCGGGCCUGAGGAGUGCAGGCUCCCCUCCUCCCUCCCCAGAGCAGCUGAGCAAACACAGGAGUGUGGGGGGGUGGGGUGGGAGCAGAAGAGCUGGGGACAGACCCCAGGGGAGGGCGGGCUGAGACCUGAGUGCAAGGUGAGGUCUCUGCAGAAGACAGUGGACCCAGCGGUGCUGGAAGCCAGGUAUGGUGGCUCUCAUCUGGAAUCCCAGCAACUCGGGAGGCUGAGACAGGAGGCUCUUGAGUUGAAGGCCAGCCUGGGCCAUUUAGCAAGACCCUAUCUCAAAAUGAAAAGGGCUGGGGGUGUGGCUCAGCGGUGGAGCACCCCUGGGUUCAGUCCCCACUACGGAGGGGGGGGAAGCCAAGUCGAAUGACCAGUCCCGUGGUCGGGCUGGGCCCUGGGGACCCUUCCCCAUGCACAAGCUGUCCAUCUCCAAAUGGCCUCCACAUCUAGUGGAGAGGCUCCUGUUCAUCAUAAAUGGCCACUGGAUGAGUGAGCUGGGUCUGGGCUAGGCCAGGAGGCCCUAGGAGGAGGCAUUUCAGAGCAAGGUCUGGGGAGACAGGAAGGGAUGGCCCCCACCAAGGAGCUGGGGCCAGAAGGGGCCUGGGCGGCACCAGCCCCGCCACCUCAGCCGGGGGGAGGUUCUUUCCGGCCUCCCUCUGUCCACCCCACCCCCACCCCAUGGUGACUUCCUUGUUUAAGGCUCCCACCGCCUCCCACCCCCACCCCAGUAACCAGAGCCCGGAUCUCUGCCCAGCUCCAGAUCCUCUUGCUGGGACCUCCCCUGGGCUGUGGUUUUAGCAAACAAUUUGGAACCUUCUGAGGCCUGGCAGAGGAGGCCUCCUGCACUCCUUCUCAGGGGGCUUAAGAUGCUCUGGCCCUGGGAUAAGAGCAACAGGGCAGGCAGUAGAGAAGGCCGCGGGGAGGGGCCACAUUUGUGACCUCAGCUGUGUGAUGCGAAAGGUGAGCUUGGAAAUGGAGCAGGGGGUCCUGGUGCUCUAUAGAUCAGGUCCAUGGACUCCCAUCUGCUCUGCACACAGCCCUGGGACUGUAACGUAUCACAGAUGAAUGGGUUGAAGCCAGAGAGGGUAAGUAACUUACCAAAGGACACACAGCAGAAAAUACAAGGAUCGGUAUAUGGACUCCAGAGUUCCUGCUUGUAAGCGCAGGGCACACUGACUCCAGGGGGGUAAAGGCCUGGGCAGGGUUGGUGAAUAGCAGAUGUUUGAAGGGCAGGGCACAGGAAGACGGGCCCAGACAGGUGGGCAGGGUCCAGGUCAGGUGGCGCCUUAGAGGACAUGUUCCUGACUAUGGAACUUCCAGGUAGGACGUUCUUUGGAGAAACGGUUUGCUGCUGACAGAUACACUGGAAGCCCCUGGGCUAGCUGACUGGAGAGCCCUCUGGCAGGAAGAUUUCCGGGUGGCCUCUGCUCAGAUCAGCGGGGCAGUGGGCGCCCAGUCCUAUCUGAGGUUUUGCUCAGUCCAGUCCAGAAGCGUGAUGAGCAGGGGACAGUAGGACUCUGAGCCAGGAUGGAGAGUCCUUCCUACCCAGACCCUAACACCACCCUGCAACCAGGAGACCCUGGGCAGGUCACCUGAGCACUCUGAGUCUCACACACCAGUCGCCUGUCCCCCUGGCCUGUCAGAGGAUCAGCAUGGCAGUGGUCCUCUGUGACCCAUCCCAGUGACCCACCCACUAGGCACAAGUGACACCCUCUUUAGACAGUUCCUGAGAAAAUGACGAGAGUGCCAGGUCUCUGUAUCUGGGUGGCCUUUGACAACCUGAAGAAACACAGUGGCACCUGACUCCAUCGACCCUCACACAGGCCCAGAAGCCAGCGGGGCACGUUCUGGUCCCAUCAGAAUAAGAGGCUCUUGUCAUGUCAUUGGAGCAACCGAGACACCCACAGGGAGGGAUUCCUGUGAGCAAGGGGCGCUCCCCCCUCAAAGGAAUGCACCUGCAGGCUGUCACCUUCAUAGUCUUGCUGUCUCCUCCCAAACCCAGAUUGGAAUCCCAACAACAAUAACGAUAAUAAAUGGCCGUAAUUAUAAAAGAGCACAGUAAUUAUUUUUUUAAGAGAGAGAGAGAAUUUUUUUUAAUAUUUAUUUAUUUAUUUUUUUUAGUUUUCGGCGGACACAACAUCUUUGUUUGUUUGUGGUGCUGAGGAUCGAACCCGGGCCGCACGCAUGCCAGGCGAGCACACUACCGUUUGAGCCACAUCCUCAGCCCAAGCACAGUAAUCAUAACUGCUUCUAGCAGGACAGGGUGGUGCAUACCUGUAAUCUCUGUGACUCGGGAGGCUGGGGCAGGAGGAUUGCAUAUUCAAGGCCAGCCUCAGCAACUCAGUGAGGCCCUAAGUAAUGUGGAGAAACCCUGUCUCUAAAUAAAAUAUAAGGGCUACGGUGUGGGGCUGGGGACAUAGCUCAGUUGGCAGAGAGCUUGCCUAGCAUGUACAAGGUCCUGGGUUCAAUCCCCAGCAACACCCAAAAGGGGGGGGGGGGCUGAGGAUGUGGCUCAGUGGUAAAGCACCCGAAUUAGGUGAUUCAGUCCUCAGGACCUUCUAUCCAUGAAGUAGGGACAUUGCUGUUCUCACUUUGCAGGUGACAAAGCAAAGGCUCAAGGACAUUCAGGAAGAGGCGGAUCCUGGCUUUGAACCUAAGACCAGCCCCUGGCACCAAGACCCCCAGCAUGAAUCCCCACCCAGCUAUGGGGGUGGCGGUAGGGGGGUGCCCCACUGUACUUGACUCUCUGUCUCCCACUGCCCUCAGCAUUUUGCUUUGUGCAUGCCUGAGGGUCCCGUGCCAAUCAGGUGAUGUAAACCCUGUCGUCCUUCCAGUGCCGAGGGCGGAGCCCAGAGCCUCACGUGUGCCAGGCCUGCGCUCUACCACUGAGCCCACCGGACCUUCCCGGGGCUUCAGAGGGUUGGGAUCAGGGGGGUGAGAAAGAGUGGAAAGAGUGGGCUGUGAGCUCACACCUGGAUUUGGACUUCAGCUUCAUCUCUGUCAUAUCUGUCCGUGUGUCUCUGUCUCUCUCUCUCUGUCAUUGAUAGUCGGGCACCGGACCCCUGAGCCACCUCGCCAGCCCUACUUUGAUUGGUAUUUAGAGACAGGUCUCUCUGAUGCUUGGCAGCUCGCCAUUGCUGAGGCUGGCUGGGAACUCAGGUCACCACACUGGCUCAGCUUCAUCUCUUAAGGGUCAAGUGUGACCAUGACCUUGACAUCCUCAUGGGUUUUAUUUCACACUGAAUCCCCCUCAUCCAGGAGGGAAAAUAAAGCAGCCAGGCCACAGGCCUUGGAAGAACACAAAGCGUGGCCCCGAGGGCUUCUCACCCGAGUUCCAGGAACCAGGAACCGUGGGCAGCUGGGCUCUGGCAUGGAGGUCGCAGGUGAGUCAAGGUCGUGAAUAGCUGCCCUCCACGCGUGGACAUUUCCCAGAUUUCCUGUGUCGUCACAAGUGUUCUUAAACAUGGAAGAGGGGGACAGAGGAGGGUCAGAAGAGUGUGGCAUUGGUGUCCCUGAGGACAGAAGAAGGGCCUCUAGCAGCCAGCAAAGACAAGGAGGCAGAUCCUCCCGAGUCAGGAGCCCAUGGGAACCAAGCAGCCUCUGCCUUACCUGUGGCUCCUGAGACCUGUUGACCCCCGCACACACACCACCCCCCACUGAAAGAUGGUACCUUCCUGUUCUAUUGUAGUAGUUUGUACCAAGGGUUGAACCCAGGGGUGCUUCACCACUGAGCUGCAUCUCCAGCCCUUUUUUGUAUUUUGUUUACAGGGUCUUUCUGAGUUGCUUAGGGCCUCAGUAAGUCGCUGAGGCUGGCCUUGAACUUCAGAUCCUCCUGCCUCAGCCUCUAGAACUGCUGGCAUUACCGGAUGCGCCACAGUGCCGGGCUCCCCGUAGUUUUAAAUUACCAGGUGUGUGGCCAUUUGGUAGCAACCAAGAAUCAGCAAAUGUUGGUUCCCACUCCUCCCUGCACCCAGCACCCUCCCCAUCCAAUUGUGCAAGUCCUUUAUUUUUAAUGUUUGUUGCUGCAGAUGGAACCCAGGGCUUUGGGCUGCUAAAUACAUGCUGUGGCACUGAGCUAUGUCCCUGCCUUUUUAUUUUAUCCAUGAAGAAAACAGGCUGGGGGUGGCCUGGAGGGUACCUAAGGACACACAGCCACCAGGUGGCCGUGGAGCCAGG